AUGGCCAGCGACGACGACUGCUACUACUACUACGACGACGACGGCGACGGCGAGGAGGAUGAGGAGGACGGGGAGGAGGCGGCCGACUGGGACGGCCUGGCGGUGGGGGCGGACGAGGACGACCUCGGCCUGCUCGAGGACGACCCGCCGCACUCGGAGCGCCGCGUCGAUUGCUGGGCUAUUACAGAAGACACCCUUUCUGCGGCCCAGCAAGAAGACUUGUCCACAAUGAUGAAUUUGCUCAAUAUAAAGCAGCACCAGGCGCGCAGUCUCUUCAUUCACCACCGAUGGAAGAUAGACUGCAUCUAUGAUUGCCUUGACAGGAAGGGGCGGGACCGCAUGCUCAGAGAAGCAGGCAUUGUACUGCAGGAGAAGAGUAGCAUGCUAAUAGGUGCCUUAAGAACACCCUCGACAAGUGUCCAAUGCAACGUGUGCUUUGAUGAUGACUUGUCCCCGGCCGCUGUCUCAACUAUGGACUGUGGCCAUUGCUUCUGCAAUGACUGUUGGACAGAGCACUUCAAUGCAGCCAUAGACGGCGGCAAGAAGCAGAUACGUUGCAUGGAGGUGAAGUGCUUGGCUAUUUGUGAUGAGGGCAUUGUGCAGCGCCUACUUGGCCAGAAGUACCCCGAUGCAGCCAAGCGCUUUGAUCGCUUCCUACUGGAGUCUUAUCUUGAGGACAAUGACUUCGUGAAGUGGUGCCCCAGCAUCCCACACUGUGGACGCGCAAUCCGUGUGGGCACUGGUGAUCGUUACUGCGAGGUCAAGUGUCUCUGUGGUGUCAGCUUCUGCUUCAACUGUAUGGAGCAGACACACUCACCGUGCCCGUGUACCAUAUGGAAGCAGUGGAACACCAGGAUCCAUGGCGAGUCAGAGAACAUCAAAUGGAUCGUUAAAAACACCAAGAGCUGCCCCAAGUGCUUCAAGCCAAUUGAGAAGCGUGACGGUUGCAACCUGGUCAAGUGCAAGUGUGGCCAGUAUAUGUGCUGGCUAUGUGGUGGACCGACAGGUAGCGCGCACACAUGGACAAACAUUGAGGGCCACAGCUGCAACCGAUACAAGGAGAGCAAGGACAAGGUGGACACAGGCAGGCGGCAGCUAGAGCGAUACGCGCAUUACUGCAACCGGUUCAAGAUCCAUGAGGACUCAUACAAGGAGCAGCACGAAAAGCUGGGGCCGGCCAUCAAAGAGAAAGUGAAACAGCUGGAGUCGAACCACCUGCGACCAAGGCUGAUCAGGGACGGCGACUGGCUGACCGAUGCACACCAGCGCCUGCUCUGGUCACGGCAGGUGGUGUCUCGAUCUUAUGCGUUCGCCUACCACAUGUUCGGCGGCGAACUGCGGGCGCACCGGUCAGAGCGGGGCAGCCUGGCCCCGGCGCAGAAUCUGUUCGAGAGCCAGCAGGAGCAGCUGGAGCGCCACGUGGAGCAGCUGUCGAAGGUGCUCGUCACGGAUAUCCCGGCGCUGCCUGACCAGGAGAUAGUGAAGGUGAAGCAGGAGGUCGUCAACCUCGACAAGAUCCUCGAGAGGCUCUGCGGGGAGAUGUACACCUGCAUUCAGGACGAGCUGCUGCCGCUGCUCACGGAGCCCAUGGACAUCGCCGCGUACACGCCCGACGGCCCUGUGCGGGCCAAGGUGUUCCGGGCGUGA
rnacentral:rRNA from 1 species